rnacentral:misc_RNA from 1 species
AUUAGAGAUCAUGUUCAAAAUGGAGAUAUCAAAAUUGAGUUUGUUACUUUUGAAAAUCAACUUGCAGAUAUUUUUACAAAACCAAUCAUUGAGGAAACUUUUUGUAAAAUUAGAAGGGAAAUUGGCAUGAGUGAACCACUUGCUUGAAAUUCAAUUCAUAUUGAUUUAAUAUAUCUGCAUAUUAUCCAAUGUGUGAGUAAUUUGCUGUGAUAUAAAUUUGUUGAGAAAACUCUAAACAACAUUAGCUAACUUAU